rnacentral:lncRNA from 1 species
UCUUUGUGUCUAUCCACUGUAGCUUCUAUGGAAAAAGAAUAUGAGGCAUUACUUUUGGUACAGCCUACGUAGAAAAGAACUCUCAGGUCAAGGAAAAUGGAGAGAUUGUCUCUCUGAAGAGGUGGUGGAGUAGCUGUUCAGUAAAUCUGGAAGGUUGGGAGAAGUUCAUGCAAGUCAGAACAGAAAAGAGCUGAUUAUGAAAGUGAAAGAAAAGCUUUCCCAAGCAUUGGAUGCAUUUGAUAUUCAUGCAAACUGAAGCUUUUAAGGUGUACCGUGAAGAAGAAAUUACUACUUUCAUACAGCAGAACCCAUCCCUGG